rnacentral:rRNA from 1 species
UACGUAGGGUGCGAGCGUUGUCCGGAAUUAUUGGGCGUAAAGGGCUCGUAGGCGGUUUGUCGCGUCGGGAGUGAAAACUCAGGGCUUAACCCUGAGCCUGCUUCCGAUACGGGCAGACUAGAGGUAUGCAGGGGAGAACGGAAUUCCUGGUGUAGCGGUGAAAUGCGUAGAUAUCUGGAGGAACACCGGUGGCGAAGGCGGCGUUCUGGACUGCAACUGACACUGAGGAACGAAAGCCAGGGGAGCAAACGGG